ensembl:lncRNA
CACGUGUGAGCUGUAAUGUGAUGUACAGGAGCAGCUGCGUGUGUGUGUGUGUGUAUGAGUGUGUGCGCGCGUGCAUUUUGGUUCUCAUGCCAAAGCUCAGUAAAAGCCGGGCGAGCAGGACGUGACUUUCAAUAAACCGCCGAACUACACAGCUCCCGUCUGUAUCUCUCUUCUCUUUCCGCUUCAUCCGAACGUCCUCUCUCUGGCUCGCGCUUCUCUACGUGUUUCUCAUUCUCUCCCCCCCCCCCCCCUUCUCCUUUGUCAGUCCAUCCUUCCACGCUCCAGCUCUAAAUGUUGGCUGUGACACACUCGUCCUCGAUUACGGCACUGAAAGAGACUCUUUGUUAGAGUAAAUCCUAUUGAAAUAGGUCACACGCGUGCACACACACACACACACACUUCUCCACCCGCAAAUUAUAUCGAAAGAGUCUGAUAAAGUGGUCGUUCUUUUCGAAAUCUCACCUACGCUCCUGGUGUCAAGAAAGGCACCACGUAUGUGUGCCAAAAUAUCGGAGAUGAGUUCGGUGCACACUGGAGAUUUAUUUCUGCGUCUCGAUGGUCUGAUCAAGAUUGCGCUGAUUAGUGUCUCUGUAAAGUAAUAUCACGUAUAUAUUCUUCAUUUAUAUCACUGUAAAGUAACGUCACGUGUAUAUUCUUCAUUUAUAUCACUGUAAAGUAAUAUCACGUAUAUAUUCUUCAUUUAUAUCACUGUAAAGUAGCGUCACGUAUAUAUUCUUCAUUUAUAUCACUGUAAAGUAACGUCACGUAUAUAUUCUUCAUUUCUAUCACUGUAAAGUAGCGUCACGUAUAUAUUCUUCAUUUAUAUCACUGUAAAGUAACGUCACGUAUAUAUUCUUCAUUUAUAUCACUGUAAAGUAGCGUCACGUAUAUAUUCUUCAUUUCUAUCACUGUAAAGUAGCGUCACGUAUAUAUUCUUCAUUUAUAUCACUGUAAAGUAACGUCACGUAUAUAUUCUUCAUUUAUAUCACUGUAAAGUAACGUCACGUAUAUAUUCUUCAUUUAUAUCACUGUAAAGUAACAUCACGUAUAUAUUCUUCAUUUACAUCACUGUAAAGUAAUAUCACGUAUAUAUU